UUGGAGGGCAAGUCUGGUGCCAGCAGCCGCGGUAAUUCCAGCUCCAAUAGCGUAUAUUAAAGUUGUUGCAGUUAAAAAGCUCGUAGUUGAAUUUCGGGGUCAGUAGGUUGGUCAUGCCACAGGUAUGUACUGGUCUCACUGAUUCCUCCUUCCUGAUGAACUGUAAUGCCAUUAAUUUGGUGUUGCAGGGAAUCUGGACUGUUACUUUGAAAAAAUUAGAGUGUUUAAAGCAGGCUAACGCCUGAAUACAUUAGCAUGGAAUAAUGAAAUAGGACGUUCGAUCCUAUUUUGUUGGUUUCUAGGAUUGACGUAAUGAUUAAUAGGGAUAGUUGGGGGCAUUAGUAUUCAAUUGUCAGAGGUGAAAUUCUUGGAUUUAUUGAAGACUAACUACUGCGAAAGCAUUUGCCAAGGAUGUUUUCAUUAAUCAAGAACGAAAGUUAGGGGAUCGAAGACGAUCAGACACCGUCGUAGUCUUAACCAUAAACUAUGCCGACUAGGGAUCGGAUGAUGUUAAUUUUUUAAUGACUCAUUCGGCGCCUUACGGGAAAC
rnacentral:rRNA from 1 species